rnacentral:tRNA from 1 species
GGGGUGCUAGCUCAGCUGGGAGAGCGCUACCUUCGCAAGGUAGAGGUCGUGGGUUCGAUCCCCAUGCACUCCA